AUGCCGCGUGCAGGAAGACUGCCCUAUGGGUUGUAAACUGCUUUUAUAUAGGAAGAAACCUUGGUACGUGUACCAAGCUGACGGUACUAUAAGAAUAAGGAUCGGCUAACUCCGUGCCAGCAGCCGCGGUAAUACGGAGGAUCCAAGCGUUAUCCGGAGUCAUUGGGUUUAAAGGGUCCGUAGGUGGAUAAUUAAGUCAGAGGUGAAAUCUUGCAGCUCAACUGUAAAAUUGCCUUUGAUACUGGUUAUCUUGAGUUAUUAUGAAGUAGUUAGAAUAUGUAGUGUAGCGGUGAAAUGCAUAGAUAUUACAUAGAAUACCAAUUGCGAAGGCAGAUUACUAAUAAUCAACUGACACUGAUGGACGAAAGCGUGGGUAGCGAACAGGAUUAGAUACCCUGGUAGUCCACGCCGUAAACGAUGGUUACUAGCUGUUUGGACCUUGUGUCUGAGUGGCUAAGCGAAAGUGAUAAGUAACCCACCUGGGGAGUACGUUCGCAAGAAUGAAACUCAAAGGAAUUGACGGGGGCCCGCACAAGCGGUGGAGCAUGUGGUUUAAUUCGAUGAUACGCGAGGAACCUUACCAGGGCUUAAAUGUAAGUUGCAUUAGUUAGAGAUAGCUAUUUCUUCGGACCACUUACAAGGUGCUGCAUGGUUGUCGUCAGCUCGUGCCGUGAGGUGUCAGGUUAAGUCCUAUAACGAGCGCAACCCCUGUUGUUAGUUGCCAGCGAGUCAUGUCGGGAACUCUAACAAGACUGCCGGUGCAAACCGUGAGGAAGGUGGGGAUGACGUCAAAUCAUCACGGCCCUUACGUCCUGGGCUACACA
rnacentral:rRNA from 1 species